rnacentral:rRNA from 1 species
UGAGGAAUAUUGGACAAUGGAGGCAACUCUGAUCCAGCCAUGCCGCGUGCAGGAAGACUGCCCUAUGGGUUGUAAACUGCUUUUAUACAGGAAGAAACCUUGGUACGUGUACCAAGCUGACGGUACUGUAAGAAUAAGGAUCGGCUAACUCCGUGCCAGCAGCCGCGGUAAUACGGAGGAUCCAAGCGUUAUCCGGAAUCAUUGGGUUUAAAGGGUCCGUAGGUGGAUAAUUAAGUCAGAGGUGAAAUCUUGCAGCUCAACUGUAAAAUUGCCUUUGAUACUGGUUAUCUUGAGUCAUUAUGAAGUAGUUAGAAUAUGUAGUGUAGCGGUGAAAUGCAUAGAUAUUACAUAGAAUACCAAUUGCGAAGGCAGAUUACUAAUAAUGUACUGACACUGAUGGACGAAAGCGUGGGUAGCGAACAGG